AUUGAACGCUGGCGGCAGGCCUAACACAUGCAAGUCGAACGAGUGGCGGACGGGUGAGUAAUGUCUGGGAAUCUGCCCGAUGGAGGGGGAUAACUGCUGGAAACGGUAGCUAAUACCGCAUACCAUCGGAUGUGCCCAGAGGGGAUUAGCUAGUAGGUGGGUUAACGGCUCACCUAGGCGACGAUCCCUAGCUGGUCUGAUAGGAUGACCAGCCACACGGGAACUGAGGCACGGCCCAGACGCCUACGGGCGGCGGACGUGGGGAAUAUUGAACAAUGGGUGCAAGCCUGAGAAAGCCAUGCCGCGUGGAGGAAGAGGGCCUUCGGUUUGUAAAGCACUUUCAGCGAGGAGGCGUGCCUCGCAUAAGAAGCCCCGGCUAACUCCGUGCCAGCAGCCGCGGUAAUAC
rnacentral:rRNA from 1 species